rnacentral:miRNA from 1 species
CAGCAGACACAUUCCAGCCAAUCAGCAGCAGACCCUCCCUCCCAGACCUUCCCACCUCCUGGACAGCAUCCAUUUUACAUUCAUUGUGAAGCUGCAUUCUUAGUGAGCUGUCCAGGAGGUAGGAGGGUCUGGGAGGGAGGGUCUGCUGCUGAUUGGCUGGAAUGUGUCUGCUG